UGGGAUGGCUCAACUGGUAGAGCAUGAGACUCUUAAUCUCAGGGUUGUGGGUUCAAGCCCCAUAUUGAGCAAAA
rnacentral:tRNA from 1 species